rnacentral:tRNA from 1 species
AUUUAUAUAGUUUAUGAAAAACUUUACAUUUUCAUUGUAAUAAAAAAAUAUUUUAUUUUUAUAAAUA